CUACCUUGCUGGCUCUAUUUCCUGUGUUAGGUGAGCUGACCAUUUUCUAUUUAGCUCCCAGCCAAGACAGAAGUUCCCCAGGCAAAAACAGGGGAAAAAAAAAUCCCUCAUAGCCAGAAUGAAACACAGAGGUCCUCUGCUUGGCUGUGGAAUUUUGAAGAGCGAGCUUGCUGGAAAGAGGCAUGGCAUGCUGCUGAGUCCCAAACUAGAUUACAGCCAAAGAGAAUGGAGGGACAGAGCAAUGCCUUGCUGUCGUGGAAGAAAAUAACACACUUUGAAUUGAAUUAGUUGUUCUGUAACCAAGCCUUGUCACAUUAACGCUGUGUGUAUCAAAAAACGCUCAGAGCUGUCAGCUUCAUACGCCUGUGAUUCGGUGCUGCUCAGAAGACUGUAGGUCGGCUGGGGGCUGGCUGCCAGAGGACAGGACUGCCGGCCUUGCUCGCCUUCACACUGCAGAUUAAGUUGA
rnacentral:lncRNA from 1 species